AGCGAACGCUGGCGGCAUGCCUAACACAUGCAAGUCGAACGAAGGCUUCGGCCUUAGUGGCGCACGGGUGCGUAACGCGUGGGAAUCUGCCCUUUGCUUCGGAAUAACAGUUAGAAAUGACUGCUAAUACCGGAUGAUGUCGCAAGACCAAAGAUUUAUCGGCCAAGGAUGAGCCCGCGUAGGAUUAGCUAGUUGGUGGGGUAAAGGCCUACCAAGGCGACGAUCCUUAGCUGGUCUGAGAGGAUGAUCAGCCACACUGAGACUGAGACACGGCCCAGACUCCUACGGGAGGCAGCAGUGGGGAAUAUUGGACAAUGGGCGAAAGCCUGAUCGAGCAAUGCCGCGUGAGUGAUGAAGGCCUUAGGGUUGUAAAGCUCUUUUACCCGGGAUGAUAAUGACAGUACCGGGAGAAUAAGCUCCGGCUAACUCCGUG
rnacentral:rRNA from 1 species